rnacentral:rRNA from 1 species
UACAGAGGGGGCAAGCGUUGUUCGGAAUUACUGGGCGUAAAGGGCGCGUAGGCGGCCUGCUAAGUCAUACGUGAAAUCCCUCGGCUCAACCGGGGAACUGCGUGUGAUACUGGCGGGCUUGAAUUCGGGAGAGGGAUGCGGAAUUCCAGGUGUAGCGGUGAAAUGCGCAGAUAUCAGGAGGAACACCGGUGGCGAAGGCGGGUCUCUGGGCAGUAACUGACGCUGAGGAGCGAAAGCGUGGGGAGCGAACAGG